UAGGCUCCCAAAUCUACUGGCACCCAUAAUGCACAGGCCUGCAGUAUGUGGCCCAGCGCGCAUGGCCCACAGCACAUGGGGCCUAGGAUGUUGCAUAAUCCACUGCACAGUCCACCACAUGGCCAAGAGACCGCACCACAUAACGCGGUCUUUGUCGUAGUUCACCAUGGUCCACGCAUGCAAUCGUGUGAUUUGACGGUCGAGGGGCAUGAUCAGAGGGUGUUUUGUGCAAUUGGAUGAUUCAGGACACAUGCGGGGUUGAUC
rnacentral:lncRNA from 1 species